GUGGUGGGGCGCGCCUGUAGUUCCAACAACUCGGGAGGCUGAGGCAGGAGAAUCGCUUGAACCCGGAGGCGGCGGUUGCGGUUAACCGACAUAGCGCCACCGCACUCCAGCCUGGGCAAUAAGAGCAAAACUCCGUCUCAAAAAAGAAAGAAAAAAAGAAAAAGAAAGUUGCUAAUGGCUGCCUGGCCACUUGGCAGGAAUGGAGCUGAAAGCUGGAUAACUCCCAACAAACCACUUAAGUUUAUUGACAACGUUUAUAAUUGCAACCGAAGUUGACUGAUUUCUGCUAAAUGAAAGGUUGCGCUUUGCCUUUUAGCAUGGAGGAUCCUGGAAAGAACUUCAAUGAAAUUGGGCGCAUCCAAAGAAAAAAAGGGAACAUUUCUAUCUCUAAGGUAUCUUUCUCCCCAGAGCUUACAAACACUUCUUAAACACAGCCUCUGAUGUUAGUGUUUUGUAAGUACUACCUAUGAGUAAAGCGAGCAGAGAUAAGCUUCUCCUUGUAGGAAAGGAGCUGGAGAAGUGGAAGAGUUUACAGAGAAAACUCUACAACAAAGAGUUAACCCUUCCCUGGUAACCUCGGAUGUGAGCGUUUGCCCCGCCUUUGCUUUCUACUGUGCAACCAAACUGUGUACAAGCUUGAAUCAACUUUAGUCGUCACAUAGCUUGCCAGUUAGCUUAACAGACAUUUUUGGCAGCCUAUCAUAACUUCGAAAUGCCCAACCCUCAACCAAUUACAACUAAAGCUUGGGCUAGGACGCUCCAGGUCCGGGCGGGGGCGAAUACCGGGUUCAGGAAAAGGGGAGGUAAAGACGCGAUGACGGGCGGGUAUACUAAGCCAAUCAAAGAGGAAAACUGCCGCCCCACUAGCCAAUGGAUAGGUUAGAAGUAUGAAAGGGGGUGGGCCUGUUGUCAUGGGGGAGGUGGUGGCGCUUGGUGGCCACUGGCGGCCGAGGUAGAGGCAGUGGCUCUGGAGUUGGUCGGGGGCAGCGGCAGAUUUGAGGCUUAACUAC